AUGCUAAACCGUCCGAUGCCCUUCUUCAAACGCACGCGUAUGAAAGAUUCCCUGCAUCUCGUUGCUUCCUUGUAUCUCGCCGGCUGCGCAUGCUCUCCGGUCGCCAUCCUCGCAGGCCGUCCUCGUCGCCGGUCAUCUUCGCCGGCGGUCCUCGUCGCCGGUCGUCCUCGCCGGCAGUCCUUUGCAGGCCGUCCUCGCAGUCGCCGGCGGUCCUGGCAGGCCGUCCUCGUCGUCGGUCGUCCUCGCCGGCAGUCCUUUGCAGGCCGUCCUCACAGUCGCCGGCGGUCCUGGCAGGUCGUCCUCGUCGCCGGUUGUCCUCGCACUCGCUGGUCGUCCUGGCAGGCCGUCCUCGUCGCCGGUUGCAGCAUCGAAUGGUGCGACCCCGCUCGUCAUAAACGGUGGUAG
rnacentral:rRNA from 1 species